UACAGAGGCCACGAGCGUUAGGCGGAAUCACUGGGCUUAAAGCGUGUGUAGGUGGAUCGGUAAGUAUCUUGUGAAAUCCCACAGCUCAACUGUGGAACUGCUCGAUAUACUGCCAGUCUUGAGGCACUCAGGGGCGAGCGGAACAGAUGGUGGAGCGGUGAAAUGCGUAGAUAUCAUCUGGAACGCCAAUGGUGAAGACAGCUCGCUGGGGGUGUACUGACACUGAGACACGAAAGCCAGGGGAGCAAACGGG
rnacentral:rRNA from 1 species